GAUGAACGCUGGCGGCGUGCCUAAUACAUGCAAGUCGAGCGAACAGACGAGGAGCUUGCUCCUCUGACGUUAGCGGCGGACGGGUGAGUAACACGUGGAUAACCUACCUAUAAGACUGGGAUAACUUCGGGAAACCGGAGCUAAUACCGGAUAAUAUAUUGAACCGCAUGGUUCAAUAGUGAAAGACGGUUUUGCUGUCACUUAUAGAUGGAUCCGCGCCGCAUUAGCUAGUUGGUAAGGUAACGGCUUACCAAGGCAACGAUGCGUAGCCGACCUGAGAGGGUGAUCGGCCACACUGGAACGGAGACACGGUCCAGACUCCUACGGGAGGCAGCAGUAGGGAAUCUUCCGCAAUGGGCGGAAGCCUGACGGAGCAACGCCGCGUGAGUGAUGAAGGUCUUCGGAUCGUAAAACUCUGUUAUUAGGGAAGAACAAAUGUGUAAGUAACUAUGCACGUCUUGACGGUACCUAAUCAGAAAGCCACGGCUAACUACGUG
rnacentral:rRNA from 1 species